CACUUGAGUGUUUGUUAUUACUAAUCCCUUCCUGGUUUUGAGGCUUGGCUCUGGGUCUGGGAAUCUACAUUUCAAUGUGGGUAAAGCUGGUUCUUUGACAUUCUGGAGAGGAAUACAAUGGAAUUUCUAGUGUACCAGGUAUAUACCCGAAUUUAUUCCUGCAUAGGACCUGUCUGUAUGCUGACUACGGAAUACACUCAAGAGCCACAACAGGAAGCAGACGGCCCAACUGGGAGAUUGCUUCAGUCUCAUAAUUGGGAGUCUCAUCAAUACAAGUAGGCAGAGUGGCAGAAAUGUUGUCUGUGUUGAUAUUACAUCGGUGAAGUAGAACAAGACUAAAGGAAAGGCUGGCUCCAGAAUUUACCAUGGCUAUUGGGUGGACAUGCUCACACAGGGAAGAGUCCAGCUGUGCCUUUGGAUGGGCCUGGAACUUCAUCUGUGGAAUGAGGAAAUCCAUUCCUGUGGUGGACAUUUGACUGAAGGACCACAUGUGAAGUGCCCCAUCCUGAAAAAUCCCCACAUACCCACAGGAAGAGACAGCGUGGCCGGUGGCUCUGAGUUGACACGUUGCUUGCCUUCUCUGCCAGGAUGACUCAUCAGUUUUUCAAAGAGAACGUUCUACAGCUAGGUCUGGUGCUUCAACAUAUAAUUUCAGCACUCAAAAGGCAGAAACAGGAGGAUUGAGAGUUGGAAGCCAGGCUGAGAGGAUAGUGACUUAAGGACAAUCUGCACUACACAGAAAGAGUCUGAUUCCAAACCAAAGGUUAAUGCUACAUCGCAGUGACAGAUCAGCUGGCUAAAACCCCCAAUGAGGAUGUGGAGGUGUGGCUCCGUGGUAGACCAUUUUCCUAGAACCCCCAGUAAGGCCUUCUGUCUGUGGCAGUCCCUUUAACGGUACAGCUACUGGACUCACCGUGCCCUUGUCCAACUGAAAAGCUUCUGAAGGCAAGGGUCAACCUAGCCUGUAGCCACUGACUUUCAACCCCCUACACCCUGACUCAUGACAAAUUCCACCCACACAUACUAGAAUAGAAAAGAAGAAAUGAAUGAACAGGUAAACUGUUCAUUUUCUGUUUGUUUAUUUGUUUGUUUGUUUGUUUGUUUUUCUAGUACCAGUGAACAAACUCGUGGCCUUAUGUGUGCUAGUCAGUGUUAGAAAGAAGAUAAUAAAAAGUAGAGAGAUCUGUGGAAAUGAAGCAGUUUUUAAUACACCACUCCACUGAAAGGGAUGGCAGCAUAGCAUAAAGCCAAAAAUAGCUAUGUGCUGAGCUGGCACAUGACAGGAGUUUUUAAAAUCAUCUCAUCAGGAGAAAUUCCUGUCCUCUUCAAAGGCAGGGACUUAUACUCUUCCCAAAUUUCCCACUUCACCAGACAAGGGUACAAAGCCUUAUUCAAUGGAUACUUGGAGACAUGAAACUGUAGCCCUGUUUCCUGACCCUGGGAUCCGUCACAUAGCCCAACCCUGACUCUCUGGCUUUCUGAAUUCUGACACAAGCAGGUACCAGUAGACAGAGGUAAAGAAGAAGGCCCCAAUGCUUCCUGCUUGUCUGUGACUCUGACCAACUCUAAGCAAACCCCAUAUUGAAAACGGGUGGAACAAUGUAUUUCUUACAGCAAGCAUUCUCCCGUUGAACCAAAACCGAGCAGUCUGUCUUUUUGACUCUAUCUCGAAGAACCUAAAGGCUCACAGGACAGUAAUUCUACAGCAUCAGUGGGUGAGUGGGGGCCGCUAUCAUUAUCUGUAAUGGGCUUCACAAUAGCUUUUCAAAAAGUAAUUGACUUUAAUUAUGCCCUAAACUGACCCUUUCGAUGGAACUAAAGAAUGACUGAGAAGAAGAAAGUGAUUGGGAAUGGUCCUGCUGGGUCCAAUUUUCAGUCAAAUAAGUGAGCUGAGCAUCCAGUAGAGGUAAGCCUGGGUCUCUCAGCACCAGCCUGAGGUCAGCCCACUGUGGCUUUGGAGAAACUUGUUUGUUAUUCCUGUGUCCUUCCUUUGUGUGAAGGAGUAGAAGAAGACUCAGACUUAUGGAAGCCUGGGAGGGACUUCUAGGACCUCAGCAUCAACAGAUGACAUACAUGCUCUAUGGGUGACAAUGAUUUCUUGGGGGAGCCCAAACAUCAGUCAACUGACAAAGAAGUUGUUCUGACCAAACAGGUCAGAUAUCCUGGGGAAAUUUGAAUAAAUGUUUAUUCACCCCAGAGAGGGCGCCAACAAUAUGUCAGAGAAAAAUUUCCACCACGUCUGGCCUAAGGAAAGAGUGAGUACACUGGGCUCUCUUACAGGAGAGGUUAUUUUCAGUUGGCAUCACUGCUGAGUGGACCCCAGCUGGUAAUGACUAAAGGAAGCAGCAUCUCCAGAGGUCCUUGCUCAACUUGGGUGGCUGGGAUGGCUGGAGAGUGCUGUUUAUCAUCCAUUAGUCUGACAUCACUGGUCUGCCUAUCAUCGAUCGAUCUAUCUAUCUAUCUAUCUAUCUAUCUAUCUAUCUAUCUAUCUAUCUAUCUGUUAUCUAUCUAUAAUUUUAAUCAUAAAGUACUAGAUUCAUUAUAGAAUUUUGAAUUAAAAUAUGCUGCUGCCUCUCCUGCUGUUCUCUUUUUCCUUGUCCCUGUCCCCCUUACAUCUUUCAGAAUAAUCUACUUCCCACUUUCAUGUUACAUAGUCCUAUGCACCUUGCAUUCCUCAGCUCUUCCCUUCAUGGUUUAUAAUCUCUUUUCUAGCCACCUUGCCUGUACCCAGACCUAUACACAAUCUAAACACACACACACACACACACACACACACACACACACACACACACACACACAUUUAAAAGCUAGAAUCUUCUGCAUGUGAGAAUGGACAUGCGCUGUUUGUCUUUCUAAGUCUAAGCCACCUUACUGAAUACAGUAGUUCUAGGUAUAUCUCUCUUUCAGAAAAUUUCACAACUUCAUAAUUCUUUGCACAUGAACACAGAUAGUUCCAUUGUAUAUGCAAACCAUACUCCUUUUACAAAUGGCCCCUGUGCAUUUUAUAACAUUUUUUUUACAUCCCAGGUCUUGUAAAUUUUGAUCACUUUUGAGUCUAUACAGUCCCCCCCCCCCCGCCCCAAGGAAGAAACAUUCAAUUAAGGGAAAAUAAGCUAGCUGACAAAUAUCUUUUCUCUUGUCAAGUAGUAGAAAUAUGACCUGCAUAUCCCCACUGACCACUGAGGUACCCAGGGGGUAGGGGAUUUGAACAGAAACAGAAGUAUCUCAUGACUGCUGACUGGCAACAGAAGUCGUUAUUGCAGGGAGAUGAGAGGAGGUCUGGAAGGUGAGAUAGGCUAGUGCAUCUAGUCAGUUGUUCUUGGCACAGUUUACAGGCAAACAACCCUCAAAGCUGUUGCAGAUUGUGGUCAUUUACUUCUUAUUCCUGCACACAGCUCAGGUUGUUUGGAAAGAACUCUAUCAUUCACUCUAAAACUUCUGGGACUCUAGUCAGUUGUUCUUGGCACAGUUUACAGGCAAACAACCCUCAAAGCUGUUGCAGAUUGUGGUCAUUUACUUCUUAUUCCUGCACACAGCUCAGGUUGUUUGGAAAGAACUCUAUCAUUCACUCUAAAACUUCUGGGACUCUAGUCAGUUGUUCUUGGCACAGUUUACAGGCAAACAACCCUCAAAGCUGUUGCAGAUUGUGGUCAUUUACUUCUUAUUCCUGCACACAGCAGAGGUUGUUUGGAAAGAACUCUAUCAUUCACUCUAAAACUUCUGGGACUUACUCCCAAACUUACCACACCCUGUCUUCAUCCCUCAAUUGCUGUCCUUUGGCAACGAACUUCGCAAGAUCAGCAAAGCCCUGCACCCCUGUUUCUUUCUCCAAGCCCAGCUUGCCUCUGAACUGGAGGAAACUGGAGGCUGGGUAUCACAGGGUGUUGUUUGCUUGUUUUUGUUUCCUUUUCCUAAAUGCUAAAAACAUGACACGAUUUUGUCCCAAGUUGAGUGGGCUGUUGCUACAUGAAAUUCUUUUCUGAGAAAAGUGGAAUUUAUUCCAAAUCUCCAACCACAUUGCAAGUUUGAAAUAAGUAAUAGGAGGCAGUAGUCGGUGCAUGACUGGAAAGACAAAGGUAGAGAGGCUGAAGUGGGGAGGUUAUUGGGAUUGAGACCAUUUGAAAGACAGGGGGUGUGGAGAGAAAGGGGGAGGAAGAGGGAGACAACAGAGAGAAGGGAGAGAGGAAGCGAUAGAGAACGUAGAGAUACAGAGUCAUACUGUCUGAGCGAAGUUUCCUAACAACCAUAUUUUUUUACCUUCACUGAAAUUGUUUCUAUUAUAGGGGAUCCGUGAAUAGGAAGGAUAAUAUCAUUUUGCAUCUGACAAAGGAUUUCUUGUGGGAAAAACAUUCUUCAUUCAAUAACAUCUCCGAUGACCCAAGGUUGAGAAGAUUCGCAGGUGUUUCUCUGUCCAGAAAAGAGUCUACUGUGGCCUAAGAUAAGUAGCUCCCCAAUUUGAGGAGAUGAGAAUCUUAUGGAUGCCUAUCUGGAACAUAAUGGGUUAAUUAAUUACUUUAUUCUAAAACAUUGUACAAGUAACUUCAAAUAUGUAGGAAGGCAGAGAGCAAUACAGAAAACCCCCACGCAAUCAUCUCUCAUCUUCAACAAUAAUUGUCAAGGGGCCUAUUUUAUUUUACCCCUAUACCAAUUUCCUUUCUGUAUUCCACUCUGGGUGAUUUUGAAACAAUUCUCAGAUUCCUAUAAUUUUCUUAGAUCUUAUUUACAGCUUGUAUUUGCAAAUAUUUAAAAAGAUUUGUUUUGAGAAUUAAAGCCAAAGUACAAUUUUUGUACCUAAAUACUUGAAUAGUAACUCAUUAGUGACACUGGGUAUUGGUCAGGACUUAACUGUUUCUCUGCAAUCAUACAAGUACUUUGGUGGUUAGUCUACAUUAACAGCCUGAAUUGAUUUAGAAUCAAGACACACCUCUGGGUAUGUCUCUGAGAGUGUUUUCUCAGAAGGGUUUAACUGAGGAGAAAGAUCCACUGUGGAUGGUUAUAUCCCAUAGGAUGAGAUCCUAGUCCAAAUUAAAACCCUGAGCCCCAGUAUCCUUCUAUCUCCUGAGUAAGGUUGUGAUGUGAACAGCAGCUUUAAGCUCUUACCACUAUAACCUUCGCUGGACACUUGAGUCUUCUAAAUGCAAGCCAAAGUGGACCUUUUCUUCCAUAAAUUGCCUCUUGUCAAGCAUUUGGUCAUAGCAACAAAUACUAGAACAAGUGCUUAAGGGACAUUUUCUUAGGGCUAGAGAGAUGACCAGCGGUUAAGAUCAAGAACCGCUCAUGCAGAGGACCUGAGUUCAGCUCCCAACACUUAUGCUGGGUGGUAAACAGCUACCUUGACUCUAGCUCCAGGGGAAUUGGACAGCAUCUUCUGGCCAUUUUGGUUACCGUACAAUAUGCACAUACCCACAUAUUAAAAAGUAAAAGCUUUAAAAGUUGUACUUAACGUAGGUUAACUACACAGUCUUAGGUUUUAUUAUGGUGUUUCAGUUCUAGCUGACAAAUAAUUGGGUACAUUUAUAGGAUACAACUUGAGUUUUGAUCUGUGCAAAUAUAGAAAGAUUCAGUUGAAAUAAUUCAGUCACUUCAACUUAUUUUGGAGAGUGAAAACAUUAAAAUAUAUUUUAAUAAUUCAGUAACAUAUACUGUAUUGCUACUAACUUGAUCACCAAAUAUAUUUUUAAUAUUUUCUUCAUCUUUAACUGAAAUUUCUCCUUUAACCAGUGUCUCUUCCUUCUGCAGCCUCCUGUAAUUCUGUUCCAAUUCUGUUCCUUUUAUCAGAUAGAUGAAUUAAAAGAAAAACAAUAUGCACAGAUACACAUGCCCUCUGAAGAGAAUAGUCUAGAGCACUAUAAAAGCAAUUCUGUUAUUUGUGGAAGCCGAGGAAAACAUUUCUAAGUAUAAGAAGCCAGGCACAGAAAAAAAAAUGGACAUUCAUUUUUCUUUUCUUUUGUGACAGGCUAGCCUGGAAUUUUCUAUGCAGCCAAAAAUCUCCUGAGUGCUGGGAUUAAAGAUAUACAUUACUGGAUGUGUAUUUGGGGUGAACCCCAGGGUGUUGCAAACGCUGGGCAAGUGCUUUACCAACUCAGCUACAUUUGCAGCCCCAAAUCUCUGAAAUGUAUCCUUACCUGAGUGGUCCUCAACUGCACUGGAAAUUCUAGUAUGUGUAACUAGUUUUCCACCACUGGGCAUUGGCCAUACCACUGUUACUAGCAGUGGUGAAUCAACAUGUAUCUAGAAUUGAUUCUUUUAUUUUUCUGUGCCCACGAUGAAGCCCAGAUCCUCACACAUGAGGUAGUCAUUCUAGUACCAAGCGAUACCCAAGCCCUGAAAUAUUGGAGAAGUUUCUCUGGGGGAUGCAUUGAGUACAUAUACUAAUGAUGCUGGUUAUUGCAAAAGAUAAAAUAUGUUUUCCUCUUUUCUGAGUUCUUGGUCAGGACAGGAGACAAGGGGUGAGCUAACAAGAAGGAAAAAUCAGUUUGCUAGAAUGUAUAUUUUAUCUGGGCAUAUUAGAUAAUAAGUAAAUAAAUGGGGACUAUCAAAAAGGGACUUAGAUGGAAUUUUGGACUAUACCCUUCAAAGCUGGGACAGAGUCUGGAUCUGAAGAGAUGGACAGGAAUAGGCCAGAGUGCAAAUGUAAGGCUAUGAAGGUAGGAGUAUGGGCCUUUUUUUUUUCAGAUUUAGUGGUUCAAAGGAAGAUACCCUUAUUUAUUAGCAUAUAAUUUUUUUUUGCAAAAUGAGUAUUUUUGUGCUGCUGAAAGGGCAUCCAACAGACACAAAGACUCCACCUGAAUUCUGGAUGUAAAAACACUGCCUAGUUUUUAAUGUGAUUUUUAAAAUGUCUGUGUGUGUGUUUAUUUAAUUUUUUUUACAGUCCAGACUUUAUCCCCUUCCUGAUCCACCACCCUUUGACUGUUCCACAUCCCAUACCUCUUCCCACCAACCCUACCCCUCCAGUCUCCACAAGGAUGUCCCCACCCCCUACCUCUACCCCACCAGACCUUUAAACUUCCUGGGGCCUUCAGUCUCUUGAGGGUUAGGUGAGGCUUCUCUGACCGAGCCAAGACGUGAUAGUCUUCUGCUGCAUACGUAUUGGGGGCCUCAUAUCAGCUGGUGUAUGCUGCCUGACUGGUGGCUCAGUGUCUGAGAGAUCUCAGGUUAGUUGAGACUGUAAGUCUUAUAGGGUCACCCUCCUUCUCAGCUUCUUCCAGCUUUUCCCUCAAAUAGGAUCUUACUGUAUAUCCCUGGCUGGCCUGGAACUAUAUAGACCGAACUAGUCUUGAACUCAGAGAUCAGCUACCACAGCCUCGAAGUGCCAGAUUAAAGUCUCUUGUGGUGCCCUCAUGCUUAGAAACGAAUGUGCUGAAGGGUGAGGAGGUCCACCUGUGUGAGGUUGAAGGAAACACAGAAAGGACAGAAGGGCAAUGAAACAUCAAGGACUCCUAUUCCUCUCCCUGUGUCAAUAAGGGAUCACAAGACUGGGUGCAACAGGGUGCUCAGCUGCGAUGCCAUCACUCAGGAGGCUCGAAACUUGAGGCCAGCUUGCAACCCUGUCACGGGAGACAAAACAAAAAAAGAGCAAAACCAAACAAACAAACAAACAAACAACUAACCCCCCAGAAUCAUGUGUAUUUUGCUGAUGGAGCUUUGGUAAAAAUAUCUGUAAUACAUUUUUUAAAUAAACUUAAAAAACUGGAUUUCCCCACUCCCAGACAUGGGCCUUUUCCAGUUUGAUUUUAGUUUCAGUUUCCAUAUAGUGAGGCAAUAUUAAUAACUACAGAUUCGCAUUGUCAGCAUAAGAGUGUAACACACACCUUUGCAAACUACACCGUGCCGUGUGCACCCUCAGGUGGCCCUCCCAGAUCUUUGUUCUUCGCCACAGUUUGUAUGUCUGCCCCGGUGACUAGUCUGUGUGAUGUAAAUGAGGCACUCCUCAUUUUCUUAGUAUCUUGACUGCGGGGGGAAAAUUACAGUCAUUAAUGCACACUAUUAAAUUAUGUCAAACACUAAACUCAAAGUUUCUCCUGAAUACCAACUAGGCUUUGGUUGAAAGGAAAAGCCGAUGUAGAUUCAGGGUUGUAAUUGGAGUUCUCUGACUAGUCUCCCUUGAACUCCUUGAAUGGUACGAUGUAUUGGUUAUUUUGUAAGAGGGUAAGAAGAAGAACAACAGUGUAGAAGCCCAACCCAUUAUGGAAGAGUAUUAUACCAGUGAAGAACAGAAAGGAAUGUUCUCACUCCAUGAAACCCAAAGACAAACCUGCUGUGAGAAUAUUCAGUUGAAUCCGCCUCGACAUUUCAGCUCCUAAUCUCAAGCCCCCUUUCCAAAGCACAACCACCUCCUGUUUUCUCAAGUGUGCACAGGGAGACCCAGGAUUACCUUGUGUCAAUAACUUCAGGAUCUGCCCUGUGGUCAUGGCGACUCUCUCUCAUCAUUCCCUGCUUCCUGCUCUUCUCCUAGCCUGUCUCAUCACCAUGGUUGCCUCUCUCUUACUUUUCCUUUCUUUCUCUGGUCCAGAAGUUGAGCUUUGCCCUGACUCAUUCCCCCUCCUCAUCCAUCAUCUGUUCACCAAAGGCUGUGAAAGACACAUUCCUAAAAACUGCUGACCUUGUAACUUUCACACUCUUGUUUCUUUCCUUUCGGAUGUGUGGAGAUGUGGUGUGUGACCCUGAUUUCUGCAGCAUGAUUGAGAACCAAACUCACUUGACACAGUGUUCCCAUUCGGUUGGGUUCAGCAGCCAGCUUCACGCUGUGCCCAAUCUUCUAUUACACUUUGAUUCGUCAUCUUCCUUUGUACUCAUGAAGCCCCUCCAAGCAGGUAUGCUCCUGUUGCCUGGACUCGGAAGCUGAGGACUUGGCUUAUAAUGGGUAACUUCUUGUCUUCAUGACUUAUCAUACACAGGUCUCUCCCAUUCACAAGAAUCCACAGCCUCUCAUGUUUAAAGAAAAAAUCCUUUGUUUCUUUGGUGGGGGGGGAAAAAGGCAAAACCUUCCAAGAGAAUUCUGAAAAAACAAAUUGCCACUAGACUGAGCCCUUCUCUGCUUGAGGCAUUUGGAAAGUGGUAAAUGCAUAGCAUGUGCCCUACCCUAUACUAUACCCAUGACGGUAUCUUAGCCCUGAGCUCCAGGUUUUGGAGUGAUAAUACCAGCAGAAAUUUGCCAAGGACCCUCCUUUUAUCCAUACUCUUCCUCCAACCACCCCUAUCUCCUCUAGGAAGUAAGCCACUUGCUGGAGUCUGCUGCUGGCUCUGGUAGGAUGAGGACACCAGCUCCCCAGCAGAAAUCCAAGAUUGCUGGACGCACACAGCAUCUCUGUGGUGCCUCUUUUUCUGGCAGAGUUACCGAUGGAUGCUAAAUGGGACCAUCCAUCCAGACAGUUGAGUGGCUCUCCCUGACAGCUCUGGGGCUCAGCAAGGCAGCUCCCCUGCUGUGGUAAAGAGCUGAUCAAUGUUCCAUUAUUCUUUCAUUUAUUGGGAGCUCUCCUCCUCUCACUCUUCCUCCCUGCUUGGGUUCAUCUAGUCUCAGUCAGACAGGCAAAGCUGAGAUACACUCUGGUACAUCUCUUCAACUAAGGGAAUUGUUUUCAGUUGAGAACUUAAGAGGGCAGAGACUUGGCUAUAUCAUGUUGUCCUGCAAUAAGAGAGGGAGAUCAAAGCCUUGGGUGCUGAUAUUCAGGAGUGGUUCCAUCAUCUUCCUGAUCAUUGGAAUCUCUCCUCUUCCCUUUAGAAUGUAGGUCCUGUUCAGCUCAAGACAGUGGUUGAAGAAGGUAUGUUAAGAAGCCAAUGGACAAAUUUAUUUUUAAAAUGCAACUGGAGUGAAAGUAUCAAAUCCUAACGGAAGCAUCAUGGCUUCAGAAUGCCCAUUCUAAACGUACAGAAAUUUGUUGAGAUACACAACCAAGACAGGCCUCCAUCCUCUACUCCAGCUCCUCCUCCCUCUGUGUUAAUUUUCUUUAACAAAAUACUGGACAGAAGAAAGUUGGCUCACAAUUCAAAGGACACAGUCCAUCAUGGUUUGGGAGAGGCAUGGGCAAUGACAGUAAGACCAUAUAAUGUGGCUUGCUCACAUCUCAGAGGAUCAGCAAUCAGAGAGAACAUAAGCCAAGUUGGGCUCCACCUUUAAAUACUUUUGCUCCAUGGGACUCACCUCGGCCAUCUCGAACAGCAUCACUACUUGAGGACAUGUGGUUUAAAUGCAUGAGGUUUGGUGAGCAUUUUCCCCUUUAUAUUUAUUUCAUUUUAUUUUUCCCUUAUUUUCUUUACAUCCUUCUCACUGCCCCAUUCCCAGUCACCCUCUACCAAAAUUGCUUUCCCCAUACCCUCUCUGAGUGGGUGGGGGCUCCCCUGGGUAUCCCCCCAAACCCCGCAUAUCAAGUCUCUGCAAGGUUAGGCUCAUCCUCUCCUACUGCAGCCAGACAAGCCUGGAGCAGCCCACCUAGAGGAACAUAUCCCAUGUGCAGGCAACAGCUUUUUGGAUGGCCACUGCUCCGAUUGUUGGGAACCUACAUGAAGAUCAAGCUGGUACAUGUGUGAGGGGAGGCCUAGGUCCAUUCCAUGUAUGUUCUUUGGUUGGUGGUUCAGUCUCUGAGAGUUUUAAGGGUCCAGUUUAGUUGAUUCUGUUGAUCUUCCUGUAGAGUUCCUAUCCUUCAGGGCUGUGAUUCUUCCUCUUAUUCUUUUAUAAGAGUCUUUAAGCUCCAUCCACUGUUUGGCUGUGGGUGUCUACAUCUGUCAGAGUCAGCUGCUAGGUGGAUCCACUCAGAGGACAGCAAUGCAAGACUCCUGUCUGUAAGCAUAACAGAGUAUCGUUAGUAAUGUUAGGAAUUGGUGCAUGCCCAUGGGAUGGGUCUCAAAUUGGGCUGGUUAUUGGUUGGCUGUUCCCUCAGUCUCUGUUCCAUUCCUGCAUUUCUUGUAGACAGGACAAAUUUGGGGUGGAACGUUUUGUGGGUUGGGUUGGUGUCCCUAUCACUCCUGCCUGGAUACAGGAGAUAGUGGAGAACAUUUUUAACUCAAACCAUAAUACCAGCUAUGCUGUGCCCGUAUGCCAGUGAAUUUGGCCAUCUCUGAACAAGAAGGGAUGUGUGAGCCCAGCUCCAGCUAUGCCCAAUAUGAGUAAUUAAACAGUUGCUUUAUUAACUCUGACAACAGAUAUGCACACAACCCUGUCACAAACAUUAUAAUUUUCCAACUCUCAGAAAGAUAUGUGCAAGCUGUUGUAAAGGCUUCACUAAUUACAGAAGGGGGUUCUGUUCUUUUUGCCUCCAACUGGCAUUUACUGAAGACUUGUAUGGUCCAAAAUGCUCUCACUUAUCAUAAAUUCAACUUGCUUCUAAGCUGAUGCUUUGCAUAUUGAAGGGACCAUUUAAUAAGGAUUUUUAGAGAGUGCGUUCCACGGAACACUAGUUCAGCCAGGGGCUAAAGACUGUUCACUGUUCUCUCUUUAUAAUGACAAGCUCUUAGCUUGUUCCCCCCACCCCCUCCAGGGUCUCAAAGACUUUAAUGCAAUGUAUGUUGUGAGAUCUCUCUCUCUCUCUCUCUCUCUCUCUCUCUUUCCCUCUCUCCUUUUCCCUCUUUCUCCCUCCUCCUCCUCUCCCUUUCUCUCUCCCUCUCCCUUCCUUUCUCUUCCUCUCUUUCUUCUCUCCCCGACUUUCUUCUCUUUCUUUAUCUUCUCUUCCCCUCCCCUCCCCCUCUCUGUUCUUCCUUCCCUCCCUCCUCACCUUUUUCUAUACUAAGGUUUCGAACCCCAGAACCUUAUAUAUGCUAGGCAAAUACUAUAUCCCUUGGAUAUUUAUAUCUAUGCCUGUGUGUCUGUAGGUAUAUCGAUCUCUACCUGUCUAUAUUUAUUCCUAGCCCUCUUGACGUUUUUUUUUUAAGAUAAGUUCUCAGUAAGUUGCCAAGGCUUUCUUUGUAUUUACUCAGUGUCCCAGGCAGGCCCUUGGAAUUUCCCUGCCUCAGAACCCACAGUAGUUGCAAUCACAGAUCUGAACAGUUCUUCUUAAAAGGAUUAUGAGGAAACUGGAGUGUGUGAACUUUCUGACGCUCAUUGUUUCAAACAGUUUAAGCUUCCAUGAUUAUCUGUUUCUCAGAGAAGCCUUGGCAUACAGGUAUACCAUGCUUUCACUUGGCACCAUGGUAGGGACCAUCGCAACAACCAACUUGCCAAUAAAGACAUCUGCCAAUGUCCAAAGGAGUGUGAACACAGGCUGAAAGUCAGCAAAUAUUGAGACAUGCACCUUGAGUUUGUUCCAUCUACUUUUGUGAAAGUCACAUGUUGAAUGGCAGACUUUUCUUAGGAAGAGGAACAUACAUGCCUACUGACUACAGAAGGGAAACCCACAACUAGACAAAUUGAAGACUACACUGAAAUUGAACUUAGUGAGCCAAUGAGUUUUUAUUAGGAUUUCUACAGGAAUAUGGGUGAAGGGUUACUUACACAAAGCAGGGGUGACUCGAAGUCAGCUGUACCACCCCAAAGCCCACUCAAACAUGGGCGUCAGCUGAUGAAUGCUGUAAUCCCGGCAUAGUAGGCAGACACUUCCUCUCCCCUAUACUUAUAUUGCUGGGAGGAUACUCAGAAAAUCUUCAGAAUUUCUAUUUGCCCAAAUGUAUGACUUUUGUUACCCCUGAGGCUCAUGAGUUCCCUCUUCCCUUCUGAAAGAGAGAUUUCAGUAGGAAGAAACCUGUCAUAUAACCAUAUUCCUAGGUUUCUGUGCUUUUUUACACAGUGGGGCUGAGGAGAUGUAGGUCCCCAGAAGAUAAAAAGACUUUCAAUAAGAACAAUCACUUAACUGAGAAGGGACCAGAUAGAAGGUUCCAGUUUUCUCAAAAGCCCCUUGGACUUCUGGGUGCUCCCCACCCCACCAUCAAUAAGUUUAUUCUGUCAUUUAUUUAUUUACUUGGAUCCAAUAUAUGCCAGAAGCUCCAUAUACAACAAUAGCAGCAAUAAUUACAGCCAACAUUUGCUAGAAAUAGUGAGAGUCAGGUCAUUUCCCUGAUACUUUCCCUGGAAUUAUUAAAUUCUUCACAAUUCAAUCCAAGAGAAAUUGUAAGAAUGAAAUAAUUUAUUCCAAGAAAGGAGCAUACAAUGUUCCUCUGGGAGGAGAAUCAUGGAGAAUUCUCUCUGUUUCUGGAGCUGUGCUUAAUAAGUAUGUAUGGGAUGGAAGGGAAGGUCCAGCAUUGCAUGUACCAGAUUGGAAGACUCUAUGUACAAGGCAGGAAAUGAGAGGAAAGGAGAAAAGGAGGAAGGAAGAGCAGGGAGGGAAGAGAGAAAGGGUAGGCAUUCGAUUGUUCUAAUUAAUAUUCCGAGUCCUUGUCAGAAUAAAGCUACAGUGAAACAGAUACAGAACAUAUGGAGCUCAAACCAGUGGUACAAUGGAUAAAGCAUCUGACUAUGGAUCAAAGAAUAUAGAAUAUAAAAAGUAUAUUUUUAAAAACCCAGAACAUUUUAUGACUACCAUCUCUGUUCCUGGGUGAUUAAAUGCUUCUUUUGUGUUUGGAAUCUGUAGACUUCACUUUUGAGUCAGGGGAGACUUUAAGUGCUAGAAAGAGAUGCUUCUUUCUGUCAGUUGUGAGUUGCCAAAGCCAUAGAAAGCACAACAUGGAAACCAAGUAUUGGAGCAGCGGGACAAUUGUCAGGGCAUUAACACUCAAAAACAAGUAACAAAGCGGUAGCCGCAGAGGCCCUCUUAGAACAGGUGGGUUCCCACCAAGCUUACAUGAAGCUGAAAAUUAGUGGAAGGGUCUGCUCCAGGGGAAGCUUACCUCAGUGCUAAGUAAUGGUGGGGGUGCUGCCAGCAGCAGGAGGAGAUCACUGAGCUCAGUCGAAAGUUCAUAACGCUAAGAAAAGAAUGAUCGAAAAACAGCAUGUACAAAGGCAAGUGUCCAGGCACAUAGACAUAGCUUUUGGAAAAUCAGAUGCAGUCCACAAGAGAGGUCUAUUCUCUUCCUGUGAGGUUACAACAAUGAGAUGUCUUGUGAGUUACCUUCCAAAAUUAAAAAACAAAACCCAUCAGAAAGUAGGGCCAUCCCUCCUUAGCUACAUGCAAAUCACCUACUGCGUUCUCUUCGAAUGUGCUACACACAAAUCCAACACAUACACACACCAGAAACAUCGCACACAGUACAUGUACCCCACAUAUGACACACUUAACAUGCUCAAAUAUCCCACACACUACACAGCAAAGACACCCACCACAUGUACCACACUCCCACACACAUACACAAAUUAUAUCCCACACCACACACAAAUAACACAGCAUAGACACACACACUGCAUAAACCACAUGCAUAACACAUAUAAACAGUAUAGAAACUGCACAUGCUACACUACACACAUCCCUUACACAUACACACAUGACAAACAAACACAUACCACACAUACAGAAUGCACAUACAACACAAUACUUCUCUUCCCACUCUGUGCAUUUAUUAACACAGGCACCUCUAAAAUCUAAUUUUUUAAAAAUUCCACACACAUUUUGUAAAAGAAAAAACUUUAAUAUGUAUUAUCUCAGCUUGUUUUUACAGCAAUCCUAUUAAACAAAUACAGAUAAGUUUAUUAUUUUCCAACAGAUAAGAACACUCAAGGUCAAAGGAAUUGAUCUAGAAGGUAUUCCCCACUAGGCUCUUCAGAGAAACCUACUAGGUCACUUUGGACUGUAAGUAAUACUGUCCAAACUCACAUUGGCUUAAAUAAGCAAGGGGAAAAUUGGCUUUUAUAACUGAUGUUCAAAGGUAGCUUUUUUUUUUUUUUUGGACUAAAGUAACAGCUGGCUCAAGCCUGGGACAGGUACCAUCAGAAGUCAGUCUCUGGAUCUUUCCACUGACUCCAUUGGGCUAUUCUCAUCUUUCAGGGAGCUUCUCCCAUAGUAGUGACAAGAAAGCUACCAGCAACUCUAAAAUUCUCUUUAACUGUUGAACCUCAGCAGAAGUCACAUGUCCUUCAACACAGAAAAAUAAUUUAUUUCAGGGAAAAAUCUAGAACUGACAAGGAGAGGUGAUUUUCUUUUCCUAGUGCACGCAGGGCCAUUGCUGCUAAUAAUGUAUUUGAAUUCCCUUGUACUCCCCUUUUUACGUUCUACAUUUGCGCAGACAUCAUUAGUUGAUCACAGCAAAUCCACCCAGUGCUUUUAGAAGCUACCUCUCUACCCUUGCAGCACAGGACUGUAUGAAGCCUCUGGGAUAUGAAGUGCAAAUUGAAACCUUAAGCACAGGAAUGCAGACACUAGAGAUAUUCACCAUCUCUUAUUUUUGUUUGUUUUUAAUUGUUUGGGCUGUGGGCAACUCAUCAGUCACCUGUGAUUUCCCUACAAGGAUUUCUGGCUACCAAUGAUAAGUAUUUCCCUCAGUGAAACCCUAAAGGACUAAACAGUGGUGGAAGUGAAGCACCAAAAUGCUUCAGUGUAUCUUCAGACUCUCCCUGCCCUUAGGGUCCCCAGUGGACCAAGACAUCAAUUCUGGAAUAAAAAAACAAAAAAACCCUUUCCUCAGAGUAGCCCUGCUCUGCCCAUACUUACACAAAAUAGACUCCCAGCAAUAUUACCUGUAGGGAUAUCACUCGUAGAUUAGAGCUCGUGCAUUUACUUCUAUACUCUAAACAACAAAAUUAGCUUCAGGAAGACAGAUCUAGCUGACUCUAAUUUAGAUGUUAACAACCCCCACAGAGUGUCAAUAUUAGAUUGAUUAAUAAUUCAGUAUUAAGAAACACUAGGAGAAGGGCUGGGAGUGGGGGAUGGCUCAGUGGAUAAGAGUGCUUGUUGGGCAGGCUUGAGGAACUGAAUUCAGUCCUCAACAGAUGGGUAUAACGCAUACAUAUAUCUGUAACGCUAUGACUGUAGUGAGUGGGGACAGGAGAAUCCUUGGGCCUUUGCUCUUCAGCCAGUUCUGUCAAUAUAGUGAGACUCUAUAGGGGUUCAGUGAGAGACCCUUAUCUCAAGGGAAGAAGGCAGAAACUCAUCAAGCAAAGCAUCCAAGUUCACCUCUGACUUUAGAACUUUGCCCCUGCCAGACUUCUCCCGAUCCUCCCUCUCCACUCUCCGUUACUCACUCAGUAACAGAUGAGAGGAGGAUUUUUUUUCAACUGACGGCUCCCAACUCGAAUCCUGCCUUGUUCUAAACCAAGAGCCGAUGCUCGAGAUGACAUUCAGCUCAAGUGGCAAUGUGGAAGAACCAGCAAUGACUGUCAGGAGUGGUGCAUUUCCAAAUUCAUCUGAGCACUUUCGGCUGUGCACUCGACUUGGCAGAUCCCAUACAGUCAGAAAGCUCAAACUCUUGACAUGAGAUAAAAGUGAUUCUGAUCUGAAUUCCUCCCUGCAGUGACAUUUCUCAACGUCAUCAAUCAAUCCAGCUCCAGAGAGUGGGCAGGGAAAGCUUUGGGCAGAGAUCUCCAAUGGUCCACGAUGAGAAAUGUGUCUGGGGACCAAGAUAUUUUCUUUGUGUUCUUGGUUUGUUAUUUUUUUUAUAUCAAAGCAAUGCAUUAUCUGGUUUAAAAAAUAAAAUAAAGGUAAAGGUGGUUGUUGUGAAAGGCUGUGAGCACAAUGUGUCCCUCUUAUAUCUGGGAGACCAGCAUCUUUUUGAACCCCUUUGUCCUCUCUUUUCCUUGCCCUGUGUGACAGGAUCCUGCAUAAGCACUCCACUUGAGAAGACGUGUACUGACCCUCACAUAAAAAAUAAAGAUUUAGUUCACCUACCCGUUUCCUCCUCUCCGUAUGCUAUUUUUAGUUCCCUCGAUGAUUAUAUUGUUUUGAAAAUCUUAUGACCCUUUUCAAAUCUGCAUAAAAGUUAGAGAACUGUACCUGCAACACCCGUUUUCUUAGCACUUAGA